AAAUAACACAAGACACAGCGAAAGAUACAAGAGAGAAUUAGAUGAAUUAUAUGAU
rnacentral:guide_RNA from 1 species